CCAUCAUCAUGCGUCUUCAUUACCAUCAUCAUCAGCACCAUUAUCUUCAUUGUCGUCAUCAUCAUCAUCAUCAUCAUCGUCAUCGUUAUCAUCAUCAAGCACAACUGCCAAUAAUAUGAUCUGUAGUGAUACCCUUGAUUGAGAUGUGCUACCUAUCUCUGUAAUCACGUCAUGAAGAUGCUCAGUUCAUGGAACAUGUUUCGAUGUCAAAGAGUAAUCACUUUUGCCUCAACUGAUGGUUAUUUAUGAAACUUGGUCAGUUGAACUAAUACUGGCAAGGGAACUUACAUACUAUUGUAAAUACAUUUUUAAUAUUUCAUGGUAUAUUUUCAUACAAAAUAUCGCAAACUAGUAAUUUUGUUUUCCACUUUCUGAAUUAUCCCCCCAUGAUCCUACACUGAAAUAUUAUGAAAUCCUUUUAUUCCCAGAAAUAAUAUGGAAUUCUUUAGUUCCCUGAAGUAAUAGGAUAUCUCUUUAUUUCCAGAAAAAUAGGGUAUCUCUUUAUUCCCCAAAAUAAUAGGGAAUCCUUUCAUACCAUGAAAUAACAAUGUGUCCUCUGUUCCCUGAAAUAAUAGGUUUUCCUUCAUUCCCUUAAAUAGUAGGGUAACCUUAUUUUCUCUGAAGUAAAAUGGUAUCCUUGUAUUCUCCGAAUUAACAUUUCCCUGGAAUAUGGUGUCAUGCGUAUGUCAUUACAUUUGUCAUGGCUCUAACUCUUCACUGAAUUAUCAGAGCCUUUUUAAAAACAUCAGCAUCUGUUCCUCAUAACAUUUGACUACUCGUGUGAUAUAUUUCUAAUUAGUCUUGGUGUUUUUCUCUCGUUUCAUGGCCAAUGUUUUUAACCGAGACAGGCAGCACUUUUUCUGAGGAAUCCGCUCCAGUGGUCAUCAUGUAGUACUCCCUAUACUCUGCCACCAAUUUUUCAAAUUCAAUUUUUUUCAAAAAGAUGCAAUUUGGGUUUAUUACAUGUGUACAUUAUUAUCAUUAUUAUUACUUAUGGUAACAUCAUAGUUUUAUCAAUUUCCAGAACAUACUCCAUAUUUCAUUUGCUGUGUGUCUCUCAACCAUUUUUAUUGUACAGGAUAAGAGCAAUCUAACAAUUCAGGACCCACACUGUCAGGUUUUGUUGCACAUGAUAUCUUUAGUUUGAUAAAUCUUGCUUAGAAUUGUUGUUUGAAGUCAAACAUUGCAAGAAUGUUAUUGAGUAAUUGUUUGUAAAGGUUAUAAAAAAAAAAAAAAAUUGUGCUUAGCCAUAAAAUUUGAAUGUGGAAAGGCUGAAAUAUUGAAACACAGCAUUGUAUUUUAAAAGCCCCCACUGAAAUGUGUCAUGUGGAAAUGUGAAAAGCCAUUGCACGUGUGAUAACAUUAAAAUGUCUUAUAUGGUAACAUUGAAGCACCAUUGGUCAGGUGGAAACUUUGAAGCACAAUAGCACAUGUGGAUAUGUUGGAAUAUGUUUGUGGAAACACUUAAGCACCAUUGUGUAUGUGGAAAUGUUGGAAUAUUUCAUGUGGAAACAUUGAAGCACCAUUGGUCAUGUGGAAACUUUGAAGCACCAUAGCGUAUGUGGGUAUACAGGAAUAUGUUUGUGGAAACAUGUAAGCACCAUUGGAAAUGUUGGAAUGUGUUAUCUGUAAACAUUGAAGCACCAUUGCAUAUGUGGAAAUAUUGAAAUAUGUGCCAUGGGAAACCAUCAUGCGGAAAUACAGAAAUGUCACAUGGAAACCUUGUUAUUUGAAAACGUCAAAAUAUGUUACCUGUAAAUGUGUGGUGUAACAGUGCAGUGUGUCGUGCAGGAUAGUGAGUGUGUCAUGUCCAUUGUUUGUACACCCAACAAUAACAGACAGGCGUCAUGAAUAGUUUGGGGAAGGUUUUGGUAGUCAGGACUGAGCACAGUUUCAUAAAAAUAUCCCUCAAAAUAUUCAUAAUUCCGAACUAUUCUUGUAUAUAAGACAUUUAUUAAAUUGUAUAUAGUCAUAUCUCCCAUGUUAAACAAUGUGACUUUUCAGAUGAGUAUGUUAUGACUAAAUUCAUUGAAGUGUGUUGUUGCUUUAUUUGUUUGCUAGUGCUCCAGUAGAGUUUGGUUUGAUCUUCACCUGCUAACAUCAUACAAACAUAGAGAUGGCAAGAAUUAACAGCUCAUACUCAUGAGUGUGGUCCAUCAUGCUUGACCACAGUGUAUGUACAUGGAAGUAUGUUGACAGGGAGGUAUGUUGACAUAUGAAGGUAUACGGACAUGGAAGUAUGUUGACAGGGAGGUAUGUUGACAUAUGAAGGUAUAUGGACAUGGAAGUAUGUUGACAGGGAGGUAUGUUGACAUAUGAAGGUAUACGGACAUGGAAGUAUGUUGACAGGGAGGUAUGUUGACAUAUGAAGGUAUAUGGACAUGGAAGUAUGUUGACAGGGAGGUAUGUUGACAUAUGAAGGUAUACGGACAUGGAAGUAUGUUGACAGGGAGGUAUGUUGACAUAUGAAGGUAUACGGACAUGGAAGUAUGUUGACAGGGAGGUAUGUUGACAUAUGAAGGUAUACGGACAUGGAAGUAUGUUGACAGGGAGGUAUGUUGACAUAUGAAGGUAUACGGACAUGGAAGUAUGUUGACAGGGAGGUAUGUUGACAUAUGAAGGUAUACGGACAUGGAAGUAUGUUGACAGGGAGGUAUGUUGACAUCCACAUAUAUGGACAUUCAAGUAUAUGGACAUAAAGGUAUAUGGACAUGGAAGUAUAUGGAUAUGAAGGUAUAUGGACAUAGAAGUAUAUGGAUAUGAAGGUAUUUGGACAUGGAGGUAUAUGGAUAUGAAGGUAUAUGAACAUAGAAGUAUAUUGACAUGGAAGUAUAUGGACAUGAAGGUAUAUGGACAUGGAAGUAUAUGGAUAUGAAGGUAUAUGGACAUGGACAUCCAAGUAUGUGGACAUGAAGGUAUAUGAAAAUGGAUGUAUAUGGACAUAAAGGUAUAUUGACAUGAAAAUAUAUGGACAUCAAGGUAUAUGGACAUGUAAUUAGCGCUUGGUCUGGAAGUCUGUUGAAGAAAUCAGUGCCAGGGUGGUUAUUUAUAGGAAAUAUGGUAUUUACAUAAAGGUAUCUGUGCAUGAAAGUAUAUUGACAUGAAGUAUUUCUUUUUCCAAAUACAGUACCUAAGCUGUAUAUCAGAGACUUGAUUAUGUGCGGCACAUUGAAAUAUAUAUGUUCAGAAAACAUUUUGAAGAAAACUAUCUUAAUUUUCUUAAUACUUUAUAUUUAUUCAUCCCAACUAACCCUAAUGGCAGGAAUUGCCUUAAACCAUGAAGCUGGUUAGCUAUUCUCGUAACGUUCAUAGCCCUAUGAACUUCUUAAGCCCAUUUUUAACACAUUGGCUACGAUCAAAGUUAAGAAUUCUUAGGGCUACGAAAGUUUCGAGAAUAAGGGCCCUCAUGAGCAAUAGUGCUGUCUGAAUUAAGAUUGAAAAAUGUUCACUGGGACUUUUUUACCUUUCUGUGAGGGGCAGGUUUGUGUGUUUUUAGUCCAUGUGAAAUACUUCCUUUAACUCAUGUUGAAAUUAAUUCAAGAGCUUUUGAUCUAAUUUUGACAAUCCAUGAAAACAUCUUUUAGAUUAUGGAAUUAGUUUGUUCCCCCUUUUGUUAGUACGUGGUUAUUCCUGUGCUGUUUUUAGCAUCACUAAUCUCAAUAUUUUUAUCUUUUCAGAGUCUGUUGAUUUUAGAACAUGGUUGCAGUGUUGUUUUUAAAAAUAGCUGGCUUACGGCAUACAAAGCCUUUUAUCUCUCAUUCAUUAGCAGUGGUGUUUCUGUGACAGAUACAGGUUCCACGUGAAUCUUCAAAACUCUUACGCUGACUUAGUUGAACCAUGUCAUCGUAUCCCAUUGGCGUAGAUCGAUGCUCAUGCUGUUGAUCACUGGAUUGUCUAGUCCAGACUCAGUUAUUUACAGACCACCGCGAUAUAGCUGGAAUAUUGCUGAGUGCGGCGGGAAACUAAACUCACUCACUCAAAACUCUUUGUAUCAGUACAGAUCAGCCUUAGUGUAAUAUGUUUAUUAGCUAUUCAUUCUGGGAUCAGCACUUUUCAAUUGGCUUUUGAGUGAGAGCAUUUCAUGUAGAAACAUGGCGAGGCUUAAUCAUUAUACUGAAUAGGAGGUACCAUUAAAUGUUCUCUUUAAAAUUUACUGUGACAUUAAGUUUAAAUGUUUGAUGUCUAGGAUAUAAUUUUUGUAAGGGACUAUCUUUUGAUAUUCUGGGUGUCUUGUUUUUUUAUGUGUAAAAAACCUUUUUCGGGUGUUACUAUGGUUACAAAAUUUAAAUUAUUUUUCAUUUAAUAACACAGAUGGACAAAAUUUCCAGGCUUCAAUGGUAAAGGAUUUGUCGGUACAAGCUAAAUAUUUUGAGAUACCACAGAAGUUGUAAGACGUAGGAAUUUAGAAGUGACAUUUAUAGUAUGUAAUAGUAGUGGACAGUGUUUCUAUUUGUUUUGUAUAUUUUGCAGCAUUUCAUACAUUUGACAUUAAUUCAAGGCAAUCAGCAUUUUUACCAUAUUGAUUUUAACAUCACUGCACACUUAAUUUAGAAUAAUUUACGUGCUUUAUGUCAGUGUCAAAAUUACUGAUUUGUGGUUUGUGCAAUGAGAUUGCAAUAUAAUGAAAUAUUUCGUUCAUUUCAGUAAUGAUACUGAUACUGACAGAACCAUUCUCUGUGUUCCUGCUUGUGUAAUGGUUCGUGGUUUGAUGUUUUGUGGUGGUUUGUGAAGUCUUGAGAUCAAUAACAACACAAAAAUAA